ACCUACAGAAAAAGCACCGGCUAACUACGUGCCAGCAGCCGCGGUAAUACGUAGGGUGCAAGCGUUGUCCGGAAUUAUUGGGCGUAAAGAGCUCGUAGGCGGUUUGUCGCGUCUGCUGUGAAAAUCCGAGGCUCAACCUCGGACCUGCAGUGGGUACGGGCAGACUAGAGUGCGGUAGGGGAGAUUGGAAUUCCUGGUGUAGCGGUGGAAUGCGCAGAUAUCAGGAGGAACACCGAUGGCGAAGGCAGAUCUCUGGGCCGUUACUGACGCUGAGGAGCGAAAGCAUGGGGAGCAAACAGGCUUAGAUACCCUGGUAGUCCAUGCCGUAAACGUUGGGAACUAGAUGUGGGGACCAUUCCACGGUCUCCGUGUCGUAGCUAACGCAUUAAGUUCCCCGCCUGGGGAGUACGGCCGCAAGGCUAAAACUCAAAGGAAUUGACGGGGGCCCGCACAAGCGGCGGAGCAUGCGGAUUAAUUCGAUGCAACGCGAAGAACCUUACCAAGGCUUGACAUAUACGAGAACACUGUAGAGAUACAGGACUCUUUGGACACUCGUAUACAGGUGGUGCAUGGUUGUCGUCAGCUCGUGUCGUGAGAUGUUGGGUUAAGUCCCGCAACGAGCGCAACCCUCGUCCUAUGUUGCCAGCACGUAAUGGUGGGAACUCAUGGGAUACUGCCGGGGUCAACUCGGAGGAAGGUGGGGAUGACGUCAAAUCAUCAUGCCCCUUAUGUCUUGGGCUUCACGCAUGCUACAAUGGCCGGUACAAUGGGCUGCAAUACCGCAAGGUGGAGCGAAUCCCAAAAAGCCGGUCUCAGUUCGGAUUGAGGUCUGCAACUCGACCUCAUGAAGUCGGAGUCGCUAGUAAUCGCAGAUCAGCAACGCUGCGGUGAAUACGUUCCCGGGCCUUGUACACACCGCCCGUCAAGUCAUGAAAGUCGGUAACACCCGAAGCCGGUGGCCUAACCUUUUGGAGGGAGCCGUCGAAGGUGAUUCCGGU
rnacentral:rRNA from 1 species